GACGAACGCUGGCGGCGUGCCUAAUACAUGCAAGUAGAACGCUGAAGAGAGGAGCUUGCUCUUCUUGGAUGAGUUGCGAACGGGUGAGUAACGCGUAGGUAACCUGCCUUGUAGCGGGGGAUAACUAUUGGAAACGAUAGCUAAUACCUCAUAACAAUGGAUGACACAUGUCAUUUAUUUGAAAGGGGCAAUUGCUCCACUACAAGAUGGACCUGCGUUGUAUUAGCUAGUAGGUGAGGUAAUGGCUCACCUAGGCGACGAUACAUAGCCGACCUGAGAGGGUGAUCGGCCACACUGGGACUGAGACACGGCCCAGACUCCUACGGGAGGCAGCAGUAGGGAAUCUUCGGCAAUGGGGGCAACCCUGACCGAGCAACGCCGCGUGAGUGAAGAAGGUUUUCGGAUCGUAAAGCUCUGUUGUAAGUCAAGAACGGGUGUGAGAGUGGAAAGUUCACACUGUGACGGUAGCUUACCAGAAAGGGACGGCUAACUACGUG
rnacentral:rRNA from 1 species